GUAACAAGGUCUCCGUUGGUGAACCAGCGGAGGGAUCAUUACUGAGUACUACACUCUCUACCCUUUGUGAACUAUUAUACCUGUUGCUUCGGCGGCGCCCGCGAGGGUGCCCGCCGGUCUCAUCAGAAUCUCUGUUUUCGAACCCGACGAUACUUCUGAGUGUUCUUAGCGAACUGUCAAAACUUUUAACAACGGAUCUCUUGGCUCCAGCAUCGAUGAAGAACGCAGCGAAACGCGAUAUGUAAUGUGAAUUGCAGAAUUCAGUGAAUCAUCGAAUCUUUGAACGCACAUGGCGCCUUCCAGUAUCCUGGGAGGCAUGCCUGUCCGAGCGUCGUUUCAACCCUCGAGCCCCUGUGGCCCGGCGUUGGGGAUCUGCCACGGCAGGCCCCUAAAACCAGUGGCGGACCCGAAGGCCCUCUCCUUUGCGCAGUAGCAUCAGCCUCGCAUUGGGAUCCCUCGGCGUCCUGCCUCUAAACCCCCCACAAGUCCGCUCCGGCGGCACCAAGGUUGACCUCGGAUCAGGUAGGAAUACCCGCUGAACUUAAGC
rnacentral:misc_RNA from 1 species